rnacentral:rRNA from 1 species
CAGCCGCCGCGGUAAAACAGAGGGUGCGAGCGUUAAUCGGAUUUACUGGGCGUAAAGCGUGCGUAGGCGGCUUCUUAAGUCGGAUGUGAAAUCCCUGAGCUUAACUUAGGAAUUGCAUUCGAUACUGGGAAGCUAGAGUAUGGGAGAGGAUGGUAGAAUUCCAGGUGUAGCGGUGAAAUGCGUAGAGAUCUGGAGGAAUACCGAUGGCGAAGGCAGCCAUCUGGCCUAAUACUGACGCUGAGGUACGAAAGCAUGGGGAGCAAACAGGAUUAGAGACCCGUGUAGUCCCUGUCUCUUAUCA